AAGGCAGCGGUGAACCAGGUCCGCUACUGUUAAAAAUUAUGAGCUAGUUUCAGCUUUCACAAAAAGAAAAGGAGUACUUAUGGCACCUUUCAGUUAUACCAGUUUAAACUGGGAACAAAUCUGUUGACUACAAUGGAGGCACUCCCAAGUAACGGAGCUUUUCUUGUGCAAGGACUGUAAGGCACGAACCCCGAUUGUCCUGGGGAUGGACCCAGACUGUCCCACAGAACGAACCCUGACCACAACGAGGAUGAUUCUGGAAUCCUGGACGGAGCCAAUGAAGACUGGAGAUGCCGGAACACUGGAACACACUGGAAUGCUGGAACAGGACGCAAUGAUCACCAGGAGGAGAAGAACCUGAUCCUGAAAACUCUUUUUUUGUAUGGAUUCCAAUGGGAAUUGUGGGCCUGGGUAGCUUGCAGGAUCAGGCCCUUAAUUACUUAAGGGAUCUGAUUUCAGAUGGCAGUAUGCUGUCUUUUCAGAAUAUACAAAUUACAUUAAA